AAGUCGUAACAAGGUUUCCGUAGGUGAACCUGCGGAAGGAUCAUUGCCACACACGAUCCAAGAUCGACACUUAUUGUGAACUGUUAAAUGUUUGUGUUAUCUGACUUUAAUUGAGGGAUUUAUUCUUCUUUUAAUUUCAUGUAAUGCUUUUUUUUAAACCACCAUUAUAUUAACAUGAAUUAUUCAUUGGAACAUAAAUGUUAUGUAAAGUCUGUCUUUAUAUAACGCUAGAUUGAAAAUUGUAAACAACUUUUAACAACGGAUAUCUAGGUUCUU
rnacentral:misc_RNA from 1 species